rnacentral:rRNA from 1 species
CAGUAACGCGUAGUCAACCUACCCUAUGGACGAGAAUAACCUCGGGAAACUGAGAAUAAUGCUCGAUAGAACAUUAUACCUGGAACGGUUUAUGUUUCAAAUGAUUUAUCGCCGUAGGAUGGGACUGCGGCCUAUCAGUUUGUUGGUGAGGUAAUGGCCCACCAAGACUAUUACAGGUACGGGCUCUGAGAGGAGUAGCCCGGAGAUGGGUACUGAGACACGGACCCAGGCCCUAUGGGGCGCAGCAGGCGAGAAAACUUUGCAAUGUGCGAAAGCACGACAAGGUUAAUCCGAGUGGUUUCUGCUAAAGGAACCUUUUGUCAGUCCUAGAAACACUGAUGAAUAAGGGGUGGGCAAGUUCUGGUGUCAGCCGCCGCGGUAAAACCAGCACCUCAAGUGGUCAGGAUGAUUAUUGGGCCUAAAGCAUCCGUAGCCGGCUCUGUAAGUUUUCGGUUAAAUCUGUACGCUCAACGUACAGGCUGCCGGGAAUACUGCAGAGCUAGGGAGUGGGAGAGGUAGACGGUACUCGGUAGGAAGGGGUAAAAUCCUUUGAUCUAUUGAUGACCACCUGUGGCGAAGGCGGUCUACCAGAACACGUCCGACGGUGAGGGAUGAAAGCUGGGGGAGCAAACCGGAUUAGAUACCCGGGUAGUCCCAGCUGUAAACUAUGCAAACUCAGUGAUGCAUUGGCUUGUGGCCAAUGCAGUGCUGCAGGGAAGCCGCUAAGUUUGCCGCCUGGGAAGUACGUACGCAAGUAUGAAACUU